AAUGUCCACCCCAAGCUGCAUGAUAACAGUGCCUAAAGCUAGUUGAUUCAUCACCACGGUCAAUUUCUGUGCACUAUUUGGCUGCUCUAACAAGGCAGGAAAGACAACGGGAUUUUUUGUUGUUGUUACAGAUUACCCACAAUCAUGAAUCACCAAGGGGAUAAGACUCAAGAACUUUCAGAAAAGCGAAUGAACCUUUUUGCCCGUCAAGACCUGAACCCACUGUACUGUAGGUUCACCAGCGGACCUCUAUCAAGACAUCCAUGUCAACUGGAUUCCCACUGUGAUGCCCACUGUGAAUGCUGCAGCAGCAUCAGUUUCUACUUCUACUACUUUUUCCAGAUGUGAAAGGAGACAUCCCUCAAUUAUACAAAAUGGUUGUCAUGUGCUGUGCUUGGUCAAUCUGAAUGAUUCUGUUGUGAUAUUUGAGUAGAGAGCACCUUCACCUUGUCAUCAUGACAAAAGUACCCCCUUAAACUGUAUGAAUACAUAAAAUGUAAUUUGGAACAUGUAAAAUACUAUUGUUUAUGAUAUUAAACAUAGUGUAAUUAAUAGGUAAUAAUAUGUAAAUAAUUUGUGUCAUCGCUGCUUUGCGUUGCCCCAUUGAAUAAAUUGCAUUUCUUAUAGCGUAA